rnacentral:rRNA from 1 species
UUACACAUGCAAGUCGAACGAUGAAGCCCAGCUUGCUGGGUGGAUUAGUGGCGAACGGGUGAGUAACACGUGAGUAACCUGCCCUUAACUCUGGGAUAAGCCUGGGAAACUGGGUCUAAUACCGGAUAGGAGCGCCUACCGCAUGGUGGGUGUUGGAAAGAUUUAUCGGUUUUGGAUGGACUCGCGGCCUAUCAGCUUGUUGGUGAGGUAAUGGCUCACCAAGGCGACGACGGGUAGCCGGCCUGAGAGGGUGACCGGCCACACUGGGACUGAGACACGGCCCAGACUCCUACGGGAGGCAGCAGUGGGGAAUAUUGCACAAUGGGCGCAAGCCUGAUGCAGCGACGCCGCGUGAGGGAUGACGGCCUUCGGGUUGUAAACCUCUUUCAGUAGGGAAGAAGCGAAAGUGACGGUACCUGCAGAAGAAGCACCGGCUAACUACGUGCCAGCAGCCGCGGUAAUACGUAGGGUGCGAGCGUUAUCCGGAAUUAUUGGGCGUAAAGAGCUCGUAGGCGGUUUGUCGCGUCUGUCGUGAAAGUCCGGGGCUUAACCCCGGAUCUGCGGUGGGUACGGGCAGACUAGAGUGCAGUAGGGGAGACUGGAAUUCCUGGUGUAGCGGUGGAAUGCGCAGAUAUCAGGAGGAACACCGAUGGCGAAGGCAGGUCUCUGGGCUGUAACUGACGCUGAGGAGCGAAAGCAUGGGGAGCGAACAGGAUUAGAUACCCUGGUAGUCCAUGCCGUAAAACGUUGGGCACUAGGUGUGGGGACCAUUCCACGGUUUCCGCGCCGCAGCUAACGCA